rnacentral:rRNA from 1 species
AUUAAUAAGCGGAGGAAAAGAAACUAACCAGGAUUCCCUCAGUAACGGCGAGUGAAGCGGGAAGAGCCCAGCACCGAAUCGCACGUCAUACAGACGUCGCGAACUGUGGUGUUUAGGACUAGCGCAUGUGCGUUGGUCUGGCGUCCGAGUCCUCCUGAUCGGGGCUUUGCCAGAGCGGGUGUCAGCCCUCUACGGCGCCGGAUCGACGUGCCCGCCACGUCCUCGGAGUCGGGUUGUUUGAUAAUGCAGCCCAAAGUGGGUGGUAAACUCCAUCUAAGGCUAAAUACGGACACGAGUCCGAUAGCGAACAAGUACCGUGAGGGAAAGUU